UAUCUGGUCGAUAAAUCAUCGGGUUUCAUUCAUCCAGUCUCUUGAAGUGGCUAUUAAAGAAAGGUUAAUCAAUGAGAAGGCUUUCAAUAAUGAAAUGACUCCGAAUUUUAGGACUCAAAAUUGGAGGAUUGAAGUCUCAAAUGACUUGUUAUUGUCAGCAACUUUUAUGUUAAACCAUUUCGUGUCAUUAAUUUUAUUCAUGCAGUGUUUUCCCAUGCUAAUGACUAUCAAUAUGAUACUAUACGCGGGAAAAAGGGUGGUUUGACUCUUGAGGAAAGAGAAAGUCUAAUUACAAAAGUGUUUCCUUCAAUAUAUACAACACUUUAUGACGCCCUGUGUGAUUAUGCAAAAAAUUCUAGUUGGGGAUAUACAGAGUCAUUUUCAGAUGUUCUUAAAAGAUUUUCAAGUUGUGGAUCUCAAUAUUGAUUUCCUGUUCCUGUUUGCAGGUAGGUGAAGGGGGUCGAUAAAUGAAUUGAUCCACUAGAUGCAUACCCUCUGAUGUCUGCAACACUAGUAGCAAGCCUGAUUUAUUUUUUGGUUCAGACAGAUCAUUGUGUUGCUUGAGAUUUAAGUAUAGAGCUGACUUUUUCUUAUGUGAGCUAAGCUACUUCUGGAGAAGUUAAACAUGGAACUACUGUUGUUUACGCAUGGGGUUUUUAUUCUCAAAAGAAAUAUGUCUGUAAAAUUGUACCUGAAUUUUCUAUCCCCGGAUCAAUGUGCAGCAAGUUGAGACCUUAAAAUUUAUGCUUCUAAACAUAUCUGUUAAUUUUAUGCUAAAGCUUGACUCAUUGAGCUUCCUACUUAUGCACUCAAUUUGACAAUAAUAAUGCUAGCAACAAUCUACUUUUUCUACUUCUAGUAUAUGAAAUUAAAAGAGGU